rnacentral:tRNA from 1 species
GCCCAGCUAGCUCAAUCGGUAGAGCGUGAGACUCUUAAUCUCAAGGCUGUGGGUUCGACCCCCACGUCGGGCU